UGGGGAAUUUUGGACAAUGGGGGAAACCCUGAUCCAGCCAUCCCGCGUGUGCGAUGAAGGCCUUCGGGUUGUAAAGCACUUUUGGCAGGAAAGAAACGUCAUGGGUUAAUACCCCGUGAAACUGACGGUACCUGCAGAAUAAGCACCGGCUAACUACGUGCCAGCAGCCGCGGUAAUACGUAGGGUGCAAGCGUUAAUCGGAAUUACUGGGCGUAAAGCGUGCGCAGGCGGUUCGGAAAGAAAGAUGUGAAAUCCCAGAGCUCAACUUUGGAACUGCAUUUUUAACUAACGGGCUAGAGUGUGUCAGAGGGAGGUGGAAUUCCGCGUGUAGCAGUGAAAUGCGUAGAUAUGCGGAGGAACACCGAUGGCGAAGGCAGCCUCCUGGGAUAACACUGACGCUCAUGCACGAAAGCGUGGGGAGCAAACAGG
rnacentral:rRNA from 1 species